rnacentral:rRNA from 1 species
AUUGAACGCUGGCGGCGUGCUUAACACAUGCAAGUCGAUCGGUAACGCGGGGGCAACCCUGGCGACGAGAGGCGGACGGGUGAGGAACGCUUGGGAAUCUGCCUAUCAGCGGGGGACAACACGGGGAAACUCGUGCUAAUACCGCAUACGCUCUACGGAGGAAAGCCGGGGACCGCAAGGCCUGGCACUGAUAGAUGAGCCCAAGCCGGAUUAGCUAGUUGGCGGGGUAACGGCCCACCAAGGCGACGAUCCGUAGCUGGUCUGAGAGGACGAUCAGCCACACUGGGACUGAGACACGACCCAGACUCCUACGGGAGGCAGCAGUGGGGAAUAUUGGACAAUGGGGGAAACCCUGAUUCAGCGACGCCGCGUGGGUGAAGAAGGCCUGCGGGUUGUAAAGCCCUUUCGGUAGGGACGAAAGCUCUCGACCUAACACGUCGGGAGGUUGACUUAACCUACAAAAGAAGCACCGGCUAACUCUGUGCCAGCAGCCGCGGUAACAC